rnacentral:lncRNA from 1 species
UUUUUCUUUUUCCUGCUUUUAAUUACUUUUUGAGACACUAUUUCUUUGAUCUAUCCCUUAAAUACUUGGUGCUUCCAUGUUCCAUCCUCAACAAACUUCCUUUCUUAUUCAUGAAAUAUUCUUCUUCAGUGACCUCCCCCAUUCCCAAGCUUCACUACAACCAACAUUCUGAUGACUUCCUAUGCAACUCUUUCUCUUCAGAGCAAAAAUCCCUGCCAUGUUUCUUCCUGGUUGUGUCAGAGCCUCCAGAGUCACUGUGUCCAGUGCUGGUGGUGGCUAUGUGAAAAGGAACAUGCUUCUGUCACCGUCCUUAUGCUUGUACCUCUGACCAAAGAAGACAUAAUGUCCCUGCUGCAUUGUUCCACCUCCUUACUGCUUAUUCCUUGACAGAAAAUUUACAAAUCUUAUUGGUAAGCUCUUGAAAUACUAAUUGAGACCCAUUUUGAGAAAGUGGUGGGCUACUGUUUUUGGAGACAAAAUGAGGCUUCACUCAGAUCAUUAUCACUUUUUACUUCAGAGAAAACUUUUCUCCCAUAUCUUGCUCUUCCAAGGUUAGUACUCCCUGGGGGUAACCAGCCAUCCCACUUAUUCUCGUCUCCUCUACUGGAAGAUCCAGCUUUGGUGCACCUGGGUGGCUCAGAUGGUUAAGCAUCUGCCUUCGGUUCAGGUCAUGUUCUCUGAGUCUUGGAUCGAGGCCCAUGUCAGGCUCCCUGCUCAAUGGGGAGUCUGCUUCUCCCUCUGCCUCUCCCCCUGCUCAUGUUCUCUCUCUCUUUCUAUCUCUUCUCUCUUUUUCUUAAAUGAAUAAAUAAAAUCUGAAGAAGAAGAAAAAGAAGAAGAAGAAGAAGAAGAAGAAGAAGAAGAAGAAGAAGAAGAAGAAGACGACCCAGCUUCUGCCUCCUAGAUUGAGCCAUCCCUGUUCAAGGAGGAAGGAGAAAACCUUUCUUGGAGUCUCAGACUUAGGCCUUGUGUCUGGGCUUAUUGUAAGUAAGGUACUUACUUACCUGAUUAUUACCAAAGCAGUGCUUUAUGUCUCAUUCAAAUUUUUUCUUAUGUAUACACUUUUAUGUCAGGGAACUACAGAAGGGAGAAGGGCAUUAAAAUGCCAUCCCCACCCCAAUUCAUCACCAGCCUUUUCUUUUCUCAAGCAGUCCUAGUGUCCUUCUUCUCCUUUACUCACAGUCAGUUACUUCUGCCCUUCCAAUUCUUUCCUGGUAGAGUGUAAAUAUGUCCUUAGUUGGGGCGUUAGCACCUCUCACCAGGCAUGUGCAAACUUGAUCAUAUCACUCUCUUGCUUGGAACCCUUCUGUCUCCUCAAAGCUUCUUCAUGUGACAUGCCUGUCUUAUCCAAUCUUCUCUCAUCCUCCACUGUAAUUUUCAGGGGGCAUUACAAACAUGUUCAGCCUAUUCCCACUCACUUACCAAUCUAUUUAUCCAUCUCUUUUUAGAAACCAUUUCUGACCACCCUUUCUCCCCAGUAUCUAACUAUUCCCUGCUUCUCUGUGUUCCCACAGUACUCUGAAUAUUCCUGCAUCUACCAGCUAAUCCAUAAGGUCCUAAGGAGUAGGAUUCUGCAUGACUACCUCUGUAUCUCUUCUGCUUAGCACAGAAUUGGCUCUGGAUGAAUGUUUGCUGAAAGAAUGACUAACAGAGAUGAGAGUUAAGGAUGGCAUGUUGCCAGAGAGGCCACAUGAGCACAGAGUGAUAACCCUGCCUCUGCUGUCAAAUGGCUUCCGUGAACCUAAAUAUUUGUUGAAUGAACUUCCAGUUAACACUGGGGUUGAAAAACAGAUUAUUGUUCUUUGCUGUUAAGUGGUGCCUGGAGGAAAUCACAUCAUGAUAAACUUGAUUAAACUAUCAUCUGUUUGUCUGAAUGUCAAGAUCACUGCCAUAAAUAAAAGCUAUUCUUUAAAUAUUACAAGAAGCUGUGAAAGUCUUUUGGGGAAGGACCCAGUUUUCUCUUACAAUACAUGAUUUCCAACUUGUCAUCUGACUCCAAUCUCCUACAGAGUAGAAUAAUAGUGAAAUCAUUGUUAAUUAAAGAAAUUUAACUGCCGUCUACUUCUCAUUAGCCACAUUUUUUUUCUGCAAGUCACCUUCAAAUUCUCCCUUACUGGAAAUAUUCAAAAAAUUAAAUUACUAAGUAACCCUGAUAAGGCAUGGGAAUUUGAAAGUUGCAAAUGUUAGGUAGCAUAGUAAGUGAAUGCUUUUUAUUCUAAUGUUUAAUGCAUAUUUCUGGGGUUGGAAAAAAGCGAUAAAAGAAGGAAAAGAGAAAAGAAGGGAAAGAGUUUUCUAUCCAGCUGUUCUACAGUGUUUAUCAUUACUAACACUGCAAUGUGUUAAUAAGGAAGUUCAAAGUACAUGGCUUGCCCAAUUAAAUUUUUAAAAAUCACAUUAAAGUUUUAGUGACUGAAUUUGGGACUAGAUCAGCUUUGGAAGUGGAUACUUAUUCAACUCUGUAGCUUUUGUUUCUUUACCAACUGGUAAACAGCCUCAACAUAAGCAUAUGCAGAGCCUUGGUCUUACUAUUAACCUUUGACUCAUUUUUUUCAUUUCAAUUUGCUACUUAUUUUGGUUCUUAUUGCUUAUUGCAAUAAGGCUUCUCCUUAUUGUUGGCAAAGGUUUUUUAAAAAAUCUUUGGACAAUAGUGUAAACAUUCAACUGCAGCUGCUAGAAUUCAACUUUUGCACUACUGUCCAUUCCAAUCACUUUUUGAUCAUUACUGAACAU